CUAUUGGACAAGACUAACCAAUA
rnacentral:siRNA from 1 species